AGAAUACAAAAAACAUUCCAUCAUCAUGAUGCACUGUUAUGGCUCCCUCCAUAGGCAACCCAGGUCUUCUAAUUUAAAAGUUGCUGCAUUUGUGAUGAUUUUCAUCUUGACUGGGGAUGCUCCUCAUUCUGAACACCAGCAUCAUGCAUCCUUUGCUCUGUUCUAGGCACAACAAUCAAAAGUGCUAAUUCCCAAACUGGACCUGACUUCAGGCAGAAUAUGUCACUGUGACAUUCCCUAUGCAGAGGCCCAUGUGGCAAGAAACUGAUGUGUCCUUCCAACAGCCAGGCCUGAGACCUCACAAGACCCAACUGGAUCUCCCAGAGGGAGCAGGCAGACCACCAUUUCUGCUGCCCCACAGCCCUCAAAGUUUUCACUCUCCGGCUCUGGAGGGUGCUCAGUGACUAGAGACUGGUGUGGACCCCCAGCACAGUGUAGCUACCCCAUGAAAAACCGGGAACCCGCAAGAGACAAGUGAAAAAAUCUCUCUCACAACCAUCAUCAAGAUCCCGUUUCCUGCUGCCUCUAAGCUGGGGAGAGAACAUAAAGCUUGAGCUUGCCCCAGACCAGUGGUAUACAGCUCAGGAGAGCCAAGGUGAGAUCUGCAACCAACACUCAAGUGGAAGAGGAGCACACACUUUCAGACCACUGAGGGGGUCAUGACUGCAAUCAUAAGCAAAUACAGAUGAGCCAUGUGGCUGAACAAGUGUCUACCUACUGGCCAUUAUAUUUAAGCACCAUCUACUGCAUCACAGUGUAACAUCAACAGCAAAAAUACUUUGCUAAUAUACCCCCUGGGGAACUAAGGACAGUAAUUUAACUACAAAUAAAGACCCUACCCAAAGCC